UGCCAGCAGCCGCGGUAACACGUACUGUGCGAACGUUAUUCGGAAUCACUGGGCUUAAAGGGUCCGUAGGCGGCGACGCAAGUCAGGUGUGAAAUCCCACGGCCCAACCGUGGAACUGCGCUUGAAACUGCGUGGCUUGAGUAUCUCAGGGGUGAGCGGAACUGCCAGUGGAGCGGUGAAAUGUGUUGAUAUUGGCAGGAACACCGGUAGCGAAAGCGGCUCACUGGGGGAUAACUGACGCUGAGGGACGAAAGCCAGGGUAGCGAACGGGAUUAGAUA
rnacentral:rRNA from 1 species